rnacentral:rRNA from 23 species
GAGUUUGAUCGUGGCUCAGAUUGAACGCUGGCGGCAUGCCUUACACAUGCAAGUCGAACGGCAGCACGGGAGCUUGCUCCUGGUGGCGAGUGGCGAACGGGUGAGUAAUGCAUCGGAACGUAUCCUGGAGUGGGGGAUAACGUAGCGAAAGUUACGCUAAUACCGCAUAUUCUGUGAGCAGGAAAGCGGGGGACCUUCGGGCCUCGCGCUCUUGGAGCGGCCGAUGUCGGAUUAGCUAGUUGGUGAGGUAAAGGCUCACCAAGGCGACGAUCCGUAGCAGGUCUGAGAGGAUGAUCUGCCACACUGGAACUGAGACACGGUCCAGACUCCUACGGGAGGCAGCAGUGGGAAUUUUGGACAAUGGGGGCAACCCUGAUCCAGCCAUGCCGCGUGAGUGAAGAAGGCCUCGG